AGUGAACGCUGGCGGUAGGCCUAACACAUGCAAGUCGAACGGCAGCACAGUAAGAGCUUGCUCUUACGGGUGGCGAGUGGCGGACGGGUGAGGAAUACAUCGGAAUCUACUUUUUCGUGGGGGAUAACGUAGGGAAACUUACGCUAAUACCGCAUACGACCUACGGGUGAAAGCAGGGGAUCUUCGGACCUUGCGCGAUUGAAUGAGCCGAUGUCGGAUUAGCUAGUUGGCGGGGUAAAGGCCCACCAAGGCGACGAUCCGUAGCUGGUCUGAGAGGAUGAUCAGCCACACUGGAACUGAGACACGGGCCAGACCCCGACGGGAGGCAGCAGGGGGGAAUAUGGGACAAUGGGCGAAAGCCUGAUCCAGCCAUACCGCGGGGGUGAAGAAGGCCUUCGGGUUGUAAAGCCCUUUUGUUGGGAAAGAAAAGCAGCAGGUUAAUACCCCGCUGUUCUGACGGGACCCAAAGAAUAAGCACCGGCUAACUGCGU
rnacentral:rRNA from 1 species